UACGGCGGGGGCUAGCGUUGUUCGGAAUUACUGGGCGUAAAGCGCACGUAGGCGGCUUUGUAAGUUAGAGGUGAAAGCCCAGGGCUUAACCCUGGAAUUGCCUUUAAGACUGCAUCGCUUGAAUCGUGGAGAGGUGAGUGGAAUUCCGAGUGUAGAGGUGAAAUUCGUAGAUAUUCGGAAGAACACCAGUGGCGAAGGCGACUCACUGGACACGUAUUGACGCUGAGGUGCGAAAGCGUGGGGAGCAAACAGG
rnacentral:rRNA from 1 species